GUGCCUCGGUUGCCAGAGGGGUUGCGUUGCCCUGUGGGAAGCUGCCAGCUGACUCGUGGGGUGGCUAGCUUUGUGGCAUUGUCUUUGGAUGCUAGCAGCGGAAUGUGGCGCGUUUGUGUUCGGAGCUCACAAUGGAUAGUGGCCUUGUAGAACCAUCUCCAGCCUAACGAUCUGCGGCUACUUGGAGAUUCUGUCCCUCGACCUCCCACGGCUUCGGUGGCUGCUGUUUUGUUAGACCCGUCUCACGCUCGGGAUUCAUCGACCCGGCGGACUCUCGCAACCUUUGACGAGGGAACGCACACCUGUGGCUGCGUGCCUGAGUGCCUCGUGUCCAUGUUUAUUUCUGUGGUCCCUGUGUUUAUCAAUUACUCAAAAACACUGAUUAGUCCGUCUCCCAGGACGUGCCUUCUGCCAAUCUUAUUGUAACAUACGGGAGCGUGAUUUGGAGUGUACUAUUUGUCCCCCUUUGUGGGUUGGCCUAUCAUAUGGUACUUGGUGGGGUCCAGUCUGCAUUGGCCCCCCACAUUUAGUAUUUACAUUUAAGCAUUGCCACAAUACUAGUGGCAGGAGUUUGUGCGCCUUACUUACUGUGAAUAAUUGUAUCACUGUCUCUUCUCCUCUCUCCCACCUCUCUCCUCUCUCUCUUUUUCUAUCGGACAGUAUUAACAGUUAAGCCUUGCCACAAUACUAGUGGCAGGAGUUUGUGUGCAUUACUGACAGCGAAUAAGUGUAUCACUGUCCUUUCUCUCUCUCACCUCUCUCUCCUUUUCUCUAUCGGACAGUAUGAACAUUUAAGCAUUGCCACAAUACUAGUGGCAGGAGUUUGUGUGCAUUACUCCCUGUGAAUAAUUGUACCAUUGUCCCUCUCUCUCUCUCCUCUUCUCUCUCGCUCCUCUUUCUCUCUCUUUUGGGACAGGAGACCGACCCCUCAUCCCAGCGUGUGCUGUUGGCGUCCCAGGUGGUGGAAUUCUGCACUUUUCCUUUGCUGUGAGCACAUGGGUGAUUUGAGUUUGAUUAUCUAUAUUAGUGUAGUAAUUGUGUGAUUCAAUUUAUUUAAUUUCUUUUGAUUUCUUGCUUUGGUGUGAUUUACUUUCUUUUUAUUGUGUGUAUUUUGGGUUUCUUUCUAUUUCUUUUGCCAACGUGUACCGUUUGGGCGGGGCCCGCUCCGCUACUCCCCCUUACUGCUUAGCUCUCUUUAUUACUCCACAGUCGUGGAGCAGGCCCUAGGGCCCGUGGGCAUCAGGGCAGUGCUGCCCGUGUAUUGGGAGUGUGUAUGUGUGUGGGUGUGUAUGUGUGUGUGUGAGUGGGGGAAAGGGGUCAUCUGUGUUGUGGGGAUAUUAUUGUGAUGUACUGUGGACCUCUGUAAAAUAAAUAUCCAUUUUG